GCGCACGGGUGAGUAACACGUGACUAAUCUACCCUCGAGUGGGGAAUAACUGAGAGAAAUCUUAGCUAAUACCGCAUAACACUUACGAGUCAAAGCAGCAAUGCGCUUGGGGAGGAGGUCGCGGCCGAUUAGCUAGUUGGCGGGGUAAUGGCCCACCAAGGCGAUGAUCGGUAUCCGGCCUGAGAGGGCGCACGGACACACUGGAACUGAAACACGGUCCAGACUCCUACGGGAGGCAGCAGUGGGGAAUUUUGCGCAAUGGGGGAAACCCUGACGCAGCAACGCCGCGUGGAGGAUGAAGUAUCUCGGUACGUAAACUCCUUUCGAUGGGGAAGAUAAUGACGGUACCCAUAGAAGAAGCCCCGGCUAACUUCGUGCCAGCAGCCGCGGUAAUACGAGGGGGGCAAGCGUUGUUCGGAUUUAUUGGGCGUAAAGGGUGCGUAGGCGGUUUGGCAAGUCUCGUGUGAAAUCUAUGGGCUCAACCCAUAGUCUGCACGAGAAACUACCGGGCUUGAGUGAUGGAGAGGUGAGUGGGAAUUCCGGUGUACGGUGAAAUG
rnacentral:rRNA from 1 species